rnacentral:rRNA from 1 species
CCUACGGGAGGCAGCAGUGAGGAAUAUUGGUCAAUGGCCGGAAGGCUGAACCAGCCAUGCCGCGUGAAGGUCAGUGCCCUAUGGGCGUUAAACUUCUUUUGUGCGGGAGCAAUAAUGGUCACGUGUGGCCAGACGAGAGUACCGUACGAAUAAGCAUCGGCUAACUCCGUGCCAGCAGCCGCGGUAAUACGGGGGAUGCAAGCGUUAUCCGGAUUUAUUGGGUUUAAAGGGUGCGUAGCCUGUGCGGUAAGUCAGCGUUGAAAUGCCCCCACUCAAAGGGGUGAAGUGCCAUUGAUACUGCCUUGCUGGAAUGCGGAUGCCGUGGGAGGAAUGUGUGGUGUAGCGGUGAAAGGCAUAGAUAUCACACAGAACACCGAUUGCGAAGGCAUCUCACGAAUCCGCGAUUGACGCUGAUGCACGAAAGCGUGGGUAUCAAACAGGAUUAGAUACCCCGGUAGUC